UAAAAAAAUCUUAACAUAGACCCUACAACUAUGUUUCGUGAGGAAAGGUUGCUAGACCAACAGCUUGCCGCCAAAGUUUUAAUCUUUAGUAGAUUCUUCAUCGUUAUUUCACUCACUUGAGGUGCAUUCCCUGUAUGUUCUAACUUAAAUAAUUGAGUGAAUUCCAUUUCUUUUGUCACAAAUUGGAAGAUUCCAUUUCUUUUGAUCCUUAUGCUUGAACAUGCCAUGUGACUGCUAGCCAAAUGAAACCAAUCAAAUCGUCCUCCUAACAUGGUAAUUAGUUGUAGUGGAACCAUUAAGAGUGUAGUUUGUCUAGCUAGUAAUUAACAUGGUAAACAAUCAUGGCAUCAUUGUGGGAUUAUUUGAUCUUCUCAACCAGUGCAUUCUGUUCGCUGAAUGUGCAUAUUGGAAAUGGCAAUCCCGAUUGUACGAGGAACCAAAUGUUGUUUUGAACUGAAAACCAAGCAUGCACAAAGUGCUAGCUUCCAAGAAAUAGAGGGCAGUUUGGCCAAGACUUCCUUUUAAUUUAUAUACCUUUUUCUGUUUUCUCCCUUCAUUGGUGGAGCUUUCUGGAAAAAAAAAAAAAAGGAAUUAAACAAAGAAUAUCCAUGGAGUAAUUAUAAACAUUAGUCGAUAGGCAUGUAUAUAAUAAACACACAUCAUCAACAAGUUUCGUCUCUUCAUAACCCACCUGCUGAUAUUUUCAUGCCUUUCAAAUUCCCAUGUUUCAUGUUGUUUCCCGUAUAGACAAUAUAUGUCUUCCAUGUUUAAUAGCUUCAUUUGGCGAUGCGUUUUUCUUGUUUCUGAUCUGCAUGAAGACCUAUAUUGUCUACACAGGCAAUAGCAUGAUAGAUAAAGCUGCUUCAUUGCCCCUUUACAAAAACAUGCUAUGCAGUGAGCAUGGUAAUGUUAGGCCUUGGACAUGGAACAACAAGAGGAGGGGCUUCAUCAACUCGCAUUUGUCCCACCUCUUGCUGUUCCUUCUCAAAGUCAAACAUGCUUGCUUAUUUCUACUCCAGGAGCAAUCAAAUCAAGAGUUUAUGUAGUCAUAUAUUGGCACCAUCCUUCAAGUCAAGGUCAGAUCCAGACAAGGGAAAAGAGUCUGCAUUUUGCCUACCAGUUUGACCUUGUCUCAGGAAACCAAUGGCACCAGCUUCUAAGGUUUCUAAUGGCAGGAGGAUAGCUUUGAAGAAGCUACUAAAGAUGAGAAGGCUAAGAUUUUGUUAUCUUCCCUCACUGAAUCAUGGUUGUAAGAUUUUUCCUCAAGUUCAGCUUGAAUUUAGCAUUGAGUUUAACCGAAAUCCAAACCUCUUGAUUGAGGGCAGUAA